rnacentral:rRNA from 1 species
AUGACGGCGGCGUCGCCGAUGGUGCUGUCCCUCCUGCUCUUCGCCUCGCUCACGGCGCUGCUCGUCCUGGCCCCUCGCGCGUCGUCGCCGCCGCUGCCGCUGCCGCUGCCCGUGGUGGUUGGGGACGAGGAGGCGCCGGCCGCCGCUGGGGGUGCUGCUGCGGGGAGCAGCGGCGGGGGGGCGGGAGUUGAGGAGGGACCGGAGGACCUCGCGCUGUCCCGGCGCGUCACGCUCGACGCCGGCGAGGGUGCGGCGGUAGCGUCCAAGGUGGCCUUCAUGUUCCUGACCAACUCCGACCUCACCUUCGCGCCGCUUUGGGAGCGCUUCUUCGCGGGGCACGCCCACCAGUUCAACGUCUACGUGCACGCAGACCCGGCGGUGAGGCUGCGGCACCCCCCUACGCCUUCCUUCCGGGGCCGCUUCGUCGCGGCCAAGCCGACGCGGCGCGGGGACCCGAGCCUCAUCGCUGCGGCGCGGCGGCUGCUUGUCGCCGCGCUACUGGACGACCCGGCCAACGCCUACUUCGCACUGCUCUCGCAGCACUGCGUCCCGCUCCACUCCUUCCCGCGGCUCUACGCGGCGCUCUUCCCGCCCAAGGCCGCGCACCACCACCGCCUCCCUAGCUAUAUCGAGGUGCUUACCGGCGAGCCCCAGAUGCCCGCGCGCUACGUGGCGCGGGGUGACGACGCCAUGCUCCCGGAGGUGCCCUUCGACCGGUUCCGCAUCGGCUCCCAGUUCUUCACGCUGGCCCGCCGCCACGCCGUGCUAGUCGUCCGCGAGCGCCGUCUCUGGCGAAAGUUUAGGGAGCCGUGCCUGCAGGAGUCGCAGGACUCUUGCUACCCGGAGGAGCACUAUUUCCCGACGCUUCUCGACAUGGCCGACCCCGCCGGCUGCACCCGGUACACGCUCACGCGCGUCAACUGGACCGACAGCUUCGAGGGCCACCCGCACACGUAUGCCGCGCCCGAGGUGUCGCCGCGGCUCGUCGCCGAGCUGCGCCAGUCCAACAGCUCCACCUAUGAGCACAUGUUCGCGCGCAAGUUCGCGCCCGACUGCCUUGGCCCGCUCAUGGCCAUCGCCGACACCGUCAUCUUCAAAGAUUGA